rnacentral:rRNA from 1 species
AAUAGAUACCCCGGUAGUCCAUGCCGUAAACGUUGGGCACUAGGUGUGGGGCUCAUUCCACGAGUUCCGUGCCGCAGCAAACGCAUUAAGUGCCCCGCCUGGGGAGUACGGCCGCAAGGCUAAAACUCAAAGGAAUUGACGGGGGCCCGCACAAGCGGCGGAGCAUGCGGAUUAAUUCGAUGCAACGCGAAGAACCUUACCAAGGCUUGACAUGCACGGGAAGCCACCAGAGAUGGUGGUCUCUUUGGACACUCGUGCACAGGUGGUGCAUGGUUGUCGUCAGCUCGUGUCGUGAGAUGUUGGGUUAAGUCCCGCAACGAGCGCAACCCUCGUCCCAUGUUGCCAGCGGGUUAUGCCGGGGACUCAUGGGAGACUGCCGGGGUCAACUCGGAGGAAGGUGGGGAUGACGUCAAAUCAUCAUGCCCCUUAUGUCUUGGGCUUCACGCAUGCUACAAUGGCCGGUACAAAGGGCUGCGAUACCGUAAGGUGGAGCGAAUCCCAAAAAGCCGGUCUCAGUUCGGUAUUGGGGU